AAGUCGUAACAAGGUUUCCGUAGGUGAACCUGCGGAAGGAUCAUUAGAAAAGUCCCGGGUGCGAGCAGGACGGCCAGUACCCGUUCCCCAAAUACCCCUUCAAACCACUUGGUUGGAAAAACCAAAAACCGUUGCUUCGCGGCGUGCUCCAGGCCCCCCUAUCAGCGGGGGCCCGGCCGCUGUCAGCCCGCAGAAGCCCACACCAAAAAACCAUUUUUCCGUAACAGUCUGUCUGAUACAAAUGAAUUAAAAUUCGUUAAAA
rnacentral:misc_RNA from 1 species